rnacentral:rRNA from 1 species
GACGAACGCUGGCGGCAUGCCUAACACAUGCAAGUCGAACGAAACCUUCGGGUCUAUGGGCGCACGGGUGCGUAACGCGUGGGAACCUGCCCUUAGGUUCGGAAUACCUCCCCGAAAGGGGUGCUAAUACCGGAUAAUGUCUUCGGACCAAAGAUUUAUCGCCUUUGGAUGGGCCCGAGUUGGAUUAGCUAGUUGGUAGGGUAAAAGCCUACCAAGGCGACGAUCCAUAGCUGGUCUGAGAGGAUGAUCAGCCACACUGGGACUGAGACACGGCCCAGACUCCUACGGGAGGCAGCAGUGGGGAAUAUUGGACAAUGGGGGAAAGCCUGAUCCGGCAAUGCCGCGUGAGUGAUGAAGGCCUUAGGGUUGUAAAGCUCUUUUAACCGGGAUGAUAAUGACAGUACCGGGAGAAUAAGCCCCGGCUAACUACGUG